rnacentral:rRNA from 1 species
GUGGGGAAUAUUGCGCAAUGGGCGAAAGCCUGACGCAGCAACGCCGCGUGAGUGAAGAAGGCCUUCGGGUUGUAAAGCUCUUUCGGUUGGGAAGAAGGGUAUCUGUGUGAAUAGCUCAGGUAUUCGAUGGUACCAAAAGAAGAAGCACCGGCAAACUUCGUGCCAGCAGCCGCGGUAAUACGAAGGGUGCAAGCGUUGUUCGGAAUUACUGGGCGUAAAGGGUUCGUAGGCGGGAAGACAAGUUGAGUGUGAAAACCCCGGGCUUAACCUGGGACGGGCAUUCAAAACUGUUUUUCUUGAGUACUGGAGAGGGUGGUGGAAUUGCUGGUGUAGGAGUGACAUCCGUAGAGAUCAGCAGGAACGCCAGAGGCGAAAGCGACCACCUGGCCGUGUACUGACGCUGAGGAACGAAAGCGUGGGGAGCAAACAGGAUUAGAUACCCCGGUAGUCC